GCGGACGUGGCGGAACUGGCAGACGCACUGGAUUUAGGUUCCAGCGCCUCACGGCGUGGGGGUUCGACUCCCCCCGUCCGCACCA
rnacentral:tRNA from 1 species